CCACUGCUGAAGAGUCCCACAAUAGGACGAAACGGCCGUUCAAUGC
rnacentral:hammerhead_ribozyme from 1 species